UCCCUUAGUAGUGGCGAACGAAACGGGAUUAGCCCAUCACGUAGGAUCACAAUUUUAAAUGAUUGUUGAUCGGUUCCGUGUAUAGGAGGGUCCAUUAUCUUGCACAUAUAACCAUCAUAUUUAAGUCCAGCUUGAAUGCGGCUCAAUAUACCCAAAGAGGGUGCCAGGCCCGUAUAUGUAUGAUGCUUGUGUAAGUGGGCUACAAACUCCUAGGAGUCAUGUUGCUUGAUAGUGCAGCAUUAAGUGGGAGGUAAACUCCUUCUAAGGCUAAAUAUUACCAUGAGACCGAUAGCGAACAAGUACCGUGAGGGAAAGUUGAAAAGCACUCUGAAUAGAGAGUCAAAUAGUACGUGAAACUGUCUAGGGGCUCAAACCUAAAGAACCCAAAUAUCUAAACGGAGAAAUUCAAUAUUACCCCUAACCGGACGUAAUGUGCACUUUUCUCUUAGUAAGACGCCGUGAUCCAUUAGAAAUUGGUAUACGCCAAGUAUACAGUGGGUCAUCAAUAGGCCAGUGUGAAGUUUAUUGGAACAAAUGGCAUGGCCUUUAACGGUUAUGUGUAUUGUCUGAUAAGCACAUUGAUACCUGUAAUGACUGUCUGAUGGAUUUUAGAGACCAUUAUCAAUGAUACUACGGUAUCAACGCUUUGUCGUAAAUGAUAUGUGUCUGAUCAACGGCGGUUAAAUUUGGGAUACCUUUUGGACCCGUCUUGAAACACGGACCAAGGAGUCUAUCUAGUAUGCGAGUAAAUGGAUAGUUUAUGAAAUCUAUUUGCGUAAUAAACUUGACUGUUUUUCAUGGGAAUACGAUUAAUAAUUUCUAAUUAUUAUUCUUCCUUCCCGGGGUAUUUUCAUUCACAUAUAAGCAAUUAUAUGGAAAAUAUACCAUGAGCACACUGGAUACGACCCGAAAGAUGGUGAACUAUGCCUGAUCAGGUCGAAGUCAGGGGAAACCCUGAUGGAGGACCGAAGCAGUUCUGACGUGCAAAUCG
rnacentral:rRNA from 1 species